GAUGAACGCUAGCGGGAGGCUUAACACAUGCAAGUCGAGGGGCAGCACUGAUAGCAAUAUUAGGUGGCGACCGGCGGACGGGUGAGUAACGCGUAUGCAACCUACCCUUUACAGGGGGAUAGCCCGGAGAAAUUCGGAUUAAUACCCCAUAGGUCAGUGAUUCUGCAUGGGAUUACUGGUAAAGCUUCGGCGGUAAAGGAUGGGCAUGCGUCCCAUUAGCUAGUUGGUAGGGUAACGGCCUACCAAGGCAACGAUGGGUACGGGGUCUUAAAGGAUGGACCCGCACACUGGCACUGAGACACGGGCCAGACUCCUACGGGAGGCAGCAGUGAGGAAUAUUGGUCAAUGGGGGGAACCCUGAACCAGCCAUCCCGCGUGCAGGAAGACAGUUCUAUGGAUUGUAAACUGCUUUUCUUGGGGAAGAAUAAUGACGACGUGUCGUCAGAUGACGGUACCCGAGGAAUAAGCAUCGGCUAACUCCGUGCCAGCAGCCGCGGUAAACUGUAGUCGUC
rnacentral:rRNA from 1 species